UAUGAACUGUGCAAACGCUAUUCGGAAUCACUGGGCUUAAAGGGUGCGUAGGCGGCUUGUUAAGUAGGGUGUGAAAGCCCCCGGCUCAACCGGGGAAUUGCGCCCUAAACUGGCGAGCUUGAGCGAGAUAGGGGUGUGCGGAACUUCCGGUGGAGCGGUGAAAUGUGUUGAUAUCGGAAGGAACGCCGGUGGCGAAAGCGGCACACUGGGCCUCAACUGACGCUGAGGCACGAAAGCCAGGGGAGCAAACGGG
rnacentral:rRNA from 1 species